rnacentral:rRNA from 1 species
UACGAAGGGGGCUAGCGUUGCUCGGAUUGACUGGGCGUAAAGGGCGCGUAGGCGGUUUGCACAGUCAGACGUGAAAUUCCUGGGCUUAACCUGGGGGCUGCGUUUGAUACGUGCAGGCUUGAGUUCGGAAGAGGGUCGUGGAAUUCCCAGUGUAGAGGUGAAAUUCGUAGAUAUCGGGAGGAACACCAGUGGCGAAGGCGACUUCCUGGCCUGUUCUUGACGCUGAGGCGCGAAAGCUAGGGGAGCAAACGGG